GACGAACCGAGCGAACGUUGUUCGGAAUCACUGGGCUUAAAGGGCGCGUAGGCGGGCCGCCGCGUCCGGGGUGAAAUCCUCCCGCUCAACGGGAGAACGGCCUCGGAUACGGGCGGCCUCGAGGGGGGUAGGGGCGUGCGGAACUGUGGGUGGAGCGGUGAAAUGCGUUGAUAUCCACAGGAACUCCGGUGGCGAAGGCGGCACGCUGGACCCCACCUGACGCUGAGGCGCGAAAGCCAGGGGAGCGAACGGG
rnacentral:rRNA from 1 species